AUGUGGCUGCAGCUCCGAUCUCCAGGCGGAGAACUGAGCGGGAGCUUCACAGCUGGAGCUGUGUCCUCACAGAAAGGAGCGGUCCUUUUUCUCUCCAUCCUCAUUGCAAAUCCAUCAGACUGUAAGCUCCAUGAGGACAAGGACCGGGUCGGUCUCCUCCCGUGCUGCAGCCCCAAUGCCCAGCCUGGUGUCUGGCCUGUGGUAGACAUCGGACAAGCAUUUGCUGAAAGAACUGGAAGGGGGAGGUGGAAUGAAGCUUUAAUCUUUGGCUCAGGAAAUGGAAAGAGGCAGCAUCGGGCCACUGAUCAGGGCACAAUUUCAGGACUCCAGUGGAGAGCACUCAGAGUUCUCCACGUACGGUCUGUAUCCUGGAGUUGUGUGAGGCAGCAGCGGAGAGCAGCAUUUAUCAUCAAAAAGAGGUUAUUCUGACAGAGGAUUCGCAUCUCUGCCACUUUUUGUAGAUUUCCUGUAAUGCCUUGCAGGGGACAUUUUUUAAUUCAAGGCAUAAGUGAAACUAUAUUUAGCGCUUGCCUCUUGAGCUAGAGGAAAUGCAGCUGAGGGCAAACCCCCUCUCUGUGUUAAAGGGGAAGGAACAUGGUCUUGCCUCUCCGAACCAGCUGCAGGAAGUCAUGUGGACUGAGUCUGAAGUGCAGGGGGCCAGGCAGGUCCUUGUGCCCUUGCUUACUCUCCUGACAGCCCUUCCAGGAUCCGAAGCUCCCCGUCAGAGCUACUCUUUUGGCUCACGAGUGGUUUCCAAGUUGCAGGGCUCCUAGGUGACAAGAGAUUUUCACACAUUGAGAUGUAUGGGGUAACUAUUCGAGUUCAAAACUGAUUGGGCUUGAACUGGAAAGCCUGACUUAUAGCCUAUCACCAUACAUUGUACAGCUGCUUAUCCAUUAAAGUGAGGAAUCUCUCUUGAGAUAAAGAAUGCAGACUUCCCCUCCUACGCCCUGUUGGUAACAACACCCUAUUGGUAAAUAAGCCCGGAGUAGUCCCUUUCCUGGCAUGUUGGUCAUGUUGACCUGCUAAUUUGCAACUGAAUAUGUCUUUGAAAAUGUAGCCUGGGUGUCUUUAAUGUAUCUUCUUUUUUUUUUUUUUUCUGCUUUUUCUCCCCAAAUCCCCCCAGUACAUAGUUGUAUAUUUUAGUUGUGGGUCCUUCUAGUUGUGGCAUGUGGGACGCCGCCUCAACAUGGCCUGAUGAGCAGUGCCAUGUCCGCGCCCAGGAUCUGAACUGGCAAAACCCUGGGCUGCCAAAGCAGAGCCCAAGAACUUAACCACUCCGGCCACCGGGCCGGCCCCUAAUGUAUCUCCUUUGUUCUAAAAAGAUCUAAGACUGUGCUGAAAUGCUUGCUUCUCUGGAAUGCCUUCUAAGGCCUUCCCGGGUUAUAAUCUUCACUUUGGCUCAUAAUAAACUCACCCCAAUUUUGAUCA
rnacentral:lncRNA from 1 species